UUGAAUUUUAAUGAAGAGUUUGGUUGUAGCUGGCCCAUUCAUUUGGGCAUGUGCACACCUUCCUCUUUCAUCCCACACACACCUGUGAACCUGUGAGACAGAGAUGGGAAAUUUACUUGCUGCUUUUUGGAAUACAAAGGCAAUAGGUUAUUGGACCCCCCCUCUGUCUACUCAAUUAAUAUAAACCCAAUUUAUUUUAAAACGAAUGUAAUGGAUGUAACACAUCUCAUAC
rnacentral:misc_RNA from 1 species